rnacentral:rRNA from 1 species
AUGUCAACAUGAGCUAACCUGGGCCUACAAAAUAGAGCCUCACCUUUAAUAGAGCAAUUAACCUUUUUUCAUGACCACACUUUGCUUAUUCUUGUAAUAAUUACAGUACUAGUAGGAUAUUUAAUAUUCAUACUAUUUUUUAAUAAUUAUACUAACCGAUUCUUAUUACAUGGACAAACUAUCGAAAUAAUUUGGACAAUUCUACCCGCUAUCGUACUUUUGUUUAUUGCCUUUCCAUCCUUACGUCUAUUGUACUUAUUAGAUGAAAUUAACGAACCAGCAAUCACUAUUAAGUCAAUUGGGCACCAAUGAUACUGAAGCUACGAAUAUUCUGAUUUUAUUGACUUAGAAUUCGAUUCAUAUAUAAUUCCUACAAAUGACCUUACCCCAGAAGGGUUCCGACUCUUAGACGUUGACAACCGGGUUAUUAUCCCAAUAAAUUCACAAACCCGAGUAUUAGUUACUGCUGCUGAUGUAAUUCAUUCAUGAACAGUCCCCUCCCUAGGAGUAAAAGUAGACGGAACCCCAGGACGAUUAAACCAGACCAACUUCCUAAUUAGACGACCAGGCCUAUUCUUCGGGCAAUGCUCAGAAAUUUGCGGAGCUAACCACAGAUUCAUGCCUAUUGUGAUUGAAAGUGUACCAGUAAGUCAAUUUAUCAAAUGAAUUUCU